GACAGAAUUGUGGCAAGGCACAGAUCUGGCCAAGGUUACAAAACAGUUUCUGCUGCACUUAAGGUUCCUAAGAGCACAGUGGCCUCCAUAAUCCUCAAAUGGAAGAAGUUUGGGACGACCAGAACUCUUCCUAGACCUGGCGAAGAGUGGAGAAAACCAGGCACUGCUCAUCACCUGCCCAAUACAAUCCCAGCAGUGAAACAUGGUGGUGGUGGCAGCAUCAUGCUACAGGGGUGUUUUUCAGCUGCAGGGACAAGACGACCGGUUGCAAUUGAAGGAAAGAUGAAUGCGGCCAAGUACAGAGAUAUCCUGGAAGAAAACCUCAUCCAGAGUGCUCUGGACCUCAGACUGGGCCGAAGGUUCACCUUCCAACAAGACAAUGACCCUAAGCACACAGAAAAAAUAACAAAGGAGUGGCUUCGGAACAACUCUGUGACCAUUCUUAACUGGUCCAGCCAGAGCCCUGACUUAAACCCAAUUGAGCAUCUCUGGAGAGACCUGAAAAUGGCUGUCCACCAACGUUUACCAUCCAACCUGACGGAACUGGAGAGGAUCUGCAAGGAAGAAUGGCAGAGGAUCCCCAAAUGCAGGUUUGAAGAGAGCAUAGAUGAAGACCAAGACCACAGUGAGGAAGCAGGACACAGCCACUGCAGCUACCACCAGCCAUGUAAAUGUGGGGUCUGCGAAGGGAGAGGCAGAGCGCCCGCCCAUCAAGGUAUGAUGACUCCACUGAUUGGCCAUUGACCAGCCAAGUGACCACAGUGGAACCUGCUAUUUGACAUUCAGUAAGCACGUUGCAAAACAACUCCAGUCCUGAACCUAAAUGAAGUCAGAGCCACUCAUCAAGGCCGUGAUGCACAAACUGGGUACUACUGCGCACACAGACCUCAGACGACGACAGCAUUGGGGUCCAAAGAGCUUUUCUGUUCAAGUUGUCACUUCAGGUAUUUCAGGAGGCGACAAAUGCGUGACUUGACCAGUUAUCGCUGCGUGGCAGGCGGCCCCGAAGCUCCGAUGCAGCAAGGCUACAGCUCCAGAGGAAUGAGGAACUUGAGUCUCUGGGCUCUCUUGUGCAUGAAGACGCCAUCCAAAUGGCCGGUCUCCACCGAGCGGAUCUCUAUGGCCUUCUCUCCCCAGCCCAUGAUCUGGUUGGAACGAAUUCAGGUCGACCAGCAGGGGCUUGUGCACCAGGUCACCAAAAGACUGAAGCACACAGUGUUUUUGCAACAUUUCUGGAAGUGGGCCAAAAGUCAAGUUGGGACAAAACAACCUACAAAGGAACAGUGUGUGCAAAUAUAUGCAGACAGAAAAAAGGCCAGCAGUUCCUCUUUUCACUAUGUGCAUCGUUCCAAAUUUUAGUUUUAAUGUAUGAUACAGAAAUAAAGCAAUACUUUUCAGUCACAAGUACAGUCAGUACAUUCACACCAGUCCAUUCAUAUCAUGCCACAUUAUGAAGGCUGAAGACUUUAGUUUCUACCUCCUAACUGUUUCAUUAAGUAGACCAAUACACAUAUUGUACAACUGACAAAUGGUUUUGUGUUGGAGUAAGUGGUUGCUAUUUUUAAAAGCUGUUGGUGAUUAAUUUGUAAAAGGUACUUGCUGGUGAAUACUGGUCCAAGUCAAGCACUCAGUUUCAUCUGAAAGUUUAAUCUUAAGUGCUCAGUUAUCCUGUCUGUGAAUGUGUGUUACUAAACCCCAAAAGGUAACAAUUGACAUCUUGGUUACCUGCUUCUGCUCAAACAUUUGUAGAAAUGUUCUACAUGGCUCUUCAGUCCCAAAUCACAUACACACUGACAAUGAAACACACACUGAACUAUUGAUAAUAUAAGUAGUGUCUUUUUACAACAAAGUGCACAGUUUAGUUUCUACCUCUUAACUCAAUUAACUAACUUAAACAAGUCUGUGACAGUUUAGUUUCUACCUCCUAACAUAUGCCACAGCAUUCAAGGCAUUUUUUGCAGCUGUUUCUCACAGGCCGCCCCUGCUGCACUGCGGACCACAUCAACUAAUGUCAUAAGAAGUCAUGGAUGUGGAUGCACUUGACACUGAUGGCCAUUCGUUUAGUGUGUGAGGCUUUUGUUUCUUGUCGUCUCCUAGUAAUCUGAUCAUAAACAUGAGAUGCGAGGAAGCGGCCUGAAUGGCCAUCCAGAUUUUGUGUCAGCCUCUCAAACACUGGGGUGAUCGAAUUUUCCAUUACGCAUAUUUUUAAAUGAAAGCCACACAAACAUUUCAUGGAAGGAAAUCGACGUGUAUUGUGACGUUUCCUUCCAUCAUGGAAAGCUCAAGUGUGUGUCAGCGUUACAUAUCGAACACACAUGGCGUGCUCUCACAAAGCUGAAAUUUACACAACAUCCGUUUGGCUCAAAAUAUCUGUUGUGACACUUAUGACUGCACUGUCUGUGUGUGCAUAAUUGAGAAAGAGAAGUACGAACCUGGAUACACUUUCAAUCUGAGAAAUCUUGGAAUUGUGGAACCGUGUGUCUGUGUAUAAAAAUGUUUAUGCAACAAUAGACAGACACAAUUUGUCUGGAAUAUGUCAGACGUAGCAGGUUUAAGUGUGUAUUUGCAGGUGCGUGUGGGCGUGUGCACAGCAAUGACAAGAAGUAAACCAAGCAAAACACUCACAAACACAUACACAAAUACUUUGGCUAUUUGAGUUGACAGCAGAAUAAACAAAAGUGAAACAGUUCGUUAGUCUCAUAAUUAACUUAGAGGACAUUAUUUAUAUUUGAUGCGCAUGUUUGUGCACGCAUGAUGCUCUCUGUGUGGAUUUUCAUUAUUGUAAUGGGGUUUGUGUGUACAAGAAUGUUUCAGUCCUUCUCACUGAUCAAGUAUUCAUCUCAGUGGGAGUAAUUUGGCUGCAUAAAUUGUAAUAAAACUACCUUUAAAAUGUGUGUGCAUGCUCUUGUGCCCUAGCUGAGUGCUUGUGUGUUUGUGUAUGUACCUGAUAUAGUGACAAGGACGUUGAGUCCCUCCAGGACGUCCAUCUGCUGGAAGCGCCGUCUGUUGAUCAGAGGGUAAACUUUCCCCUGACCACUGCGAUCCAACAGCAUUAGACCGCUCUCUGUUCCCACUAACAGGUUCACUCCUACACACACACACAGUCAGGAGAAGACCAACAACACUGACCAAAUAAGUUAUGCAGUCUGGUCAGACAGAUAACUUUACUUUGGCUUUGCUGCCACCAGGUGUUUUGUUUUAGAAAACCAGACAAAACCAGACAAGCUUUCUGAAUAUAUAAUUGUACAUUAUGUACACAGUACAUAAGGAAUGUUGCAGCAUUAAAUAAAUAACCACUUGGAUGGUGAUAUGAAAGCAAAGAGGGUGAUUUCUGUUGCUGAUGUGUGUCUGACUGCAUUAUAAUAUCGCCAAUGUCAAAUUAACGGUUUGGUUAAGUAAGUCUUAAACCAAUAAGACAGGUGACCUAUAUUUACUUUUAAAUGUUAUUGCUAUUGUGUUUCUCAAAAUUAAAACACGUUUCUCAUUA